AACGAACGCUGGCGGCAGGCUUAACACAUGCAAGUCGAGCGCCCCGCAAGGGGAGCGGCAGACGGGUGAGUAACGCGUGGGAAUCUACCCAUCUCUACGGAAUAACGCAUGGAAACGUGUGCUAAUACCGUAUACGUCCUUCGGGAGAAAGAUUUAUCGGAGAUGGAUGAGCCCGCGUUGGAUUAGCUAGUUGGUGGGGUAAAGGCCUACCAAGGCGACGAUCCAUAGCUGGUCUGUGAGGAUGAUCAGCCACGCUGGGACUGAGACACGGCCCAGACUCCUACCGCAGGCAGCAGUGGCGAAUAUUGGACAACGGGCGCAAGCCUGAUCCAGCCACGCCGCGUGAGUGAUGAAGGCCCUAGGGUUGUAAAGCUCUUUCACCGGUGAAGAUAAUGACGGUAACCGGAGAAGAAGCCCCGGCUAACGUCGUGCCAGUAGCCGCAGUAACAC
rnacentral:rRNA from 1 species